AUUGAACGCUGGCGGAAUGCCUUACACAUGCAAGUCGAACGGCAGCAUAGGUGCUUGCACCUGAUGGCGAGUGGCGAACGGGUGAGUAAUACAUCGGAACGUGCCCAGUCGUGGGGGAUAACGUAGCGAAAGUUACACUAAUACCGCAUACGAUCUAAGGAUGAAAGCGGGGGACCGUAAGGCCUCGCGCGAUUGGAGCGGCCGAUGUCAGAUUAGGUAGUUGGUGAGGUAAAGGCUAACCAAGCCGACGAUCUGUAGCUGGUCUGAGAGGACGACCAGCCACACUGGGACUGAGACACGGCCCAGACUCCUACGGGAGGCAGCAGUGGGGAAUUUUGGACAAUGGACGCAAGUCUGAUCCAGCCAUUCCGCGUGCAGGACGAAGGCCUUCGGGUUGUAAACUGCUUUUGUACGGAACGAAAAAGCUCUUACUAAUACUAGGAGUCCAUGACGGUACCGUAAGAAUAAGCACCGGCUAACUACGUGCCAGCAGCCGCAGUAA
rnacentral:rRNA from 1 species